CCUACGGGAGGCAGCAGUGGGGAAUAUUGCACAAUGGGCGCAAGCCUGAUGCAGCCAUGCCGCGUGUGUGAAGAAGGCCUUCGGGUUGUAAAGCACUUUCAGCGGGGAGGAAGGCGGUGAGGUUAAUAACCUCAUCGAUCGACGUUACCCGCAGAAGAAGCACCGGCUAACUCCGUGCCAGCAGCCGCGGUAAUACGGAGGGUGCAAGCGUUAAUCGGAAUUACUGGGCGUAAAGCGCACGCAGGCGGUCUGUCAAGUCGGAUGUGAAAUCCCCGGGCUCAACCUGGGGACUGCAUUCGAAACUGGCAGGCUAGAGUCUUGUAGAGGGGGGUAGAAUUCCAGGUGUAGCGGUGAAAUGCGUAGAGAUCUGGAGGAAUACCGGUGGCGAAGGCGGCCCCCUGGACAAAGACUGACGCUCAGGUGCGAAAGCGUGGGGAGCAAACAGGAUUAGAUACCCCAGUAGUC
rnacentral:rRNA from 1 species